ensembl:ncRNA T26H10.3 ncRNA
GAAGAUGAGGAAGACGAGCUGGGAUAAAUCUUAGAAGAGCAUUGAGAUAAAACCAAAAUAAAAAGCAAAUACAAGACGGAGAGUGUGGGGCAUCUUCGACGGCUUUCGCAAAGUGAAAUUUGAGUAGACCGCCGCCUGGGCCGUGGCCCAUCUCGGAGAGCUUCUCAUUCAUUAGC